rnacentral:lncRNA from 1 species
AUCUAUCCGUGAUCCAUCCCUCUUUUAAACGUGGUGGUCGAUCGUGUACUGUAAAUUCCUAGGCUCUGCAAAAAUUCGGUAAGAAUAUUGUUCCAAUAAAUAGCUCUUUUAUAGAGCUCAAUAUCAUUCAAAAGCAAGCUAACCGGAGUUUCUUCGCCCCCAAGUUCAUGAACAAUUGAAUGAACGAGUCGUUCAAGAGGAUUCAAGCCCUGUGUAAGUAUCUGCUUCUUUGCAUAUUCACAGCCAUUCUAAUCUAUAUGUUUAUUUUUCGAGAUUUUGGAUUUUCCUUUAAAUAGUGAAACAGUUACAGAGUUCUGAUCAGGUAAAUCAUUGUCUUCAUCGUUGUUUUAAGAAAUUAUUUUCGCUUAAGAACUUGGAUCAUGUUGCUACAUUUUUAUAUUAAAAUACACUAUUAAGUCGGACUUCUUUUUUUGCUUUACUUGUAGAAACUUAGUUUGACUUCUUCUAAAAGCUCUUCUAGGUCAAACCAGCCCAGCCAAGCCAAACGCCUUUAGAAAAUUAUCUAAAUAAAUUCAAAAACAAUUCCUUUAUCUUCACAAAGCUCGUUUUUCUACUUUUCAAAAGCCUUACCACAAACAUUGCCUGUAUCUAUUCAACAUUUUAUAUAUUACUUUAAAUAUAUCUUUAAGAAGUGCUUAUAAACUGUUUAAAUAUAAAUAGAUAAAACAAGUGAUUGAUAAGUAUGUAGUACUCGUAAAUCUCUCGAAAUAUACGAAUAAAAAGUAACUCGAGUGUUUAUAAGCAUAAGCCAAACAUAGGCUAAAUCAUGAAUGUCUCCCCAUGCAUAGUCUCCCCCAUGUACUUUCUAUAUACACACAGCAAUACAUUAUUGAAGAAAGAGAUUCUGUUUCAAUCUUUAGAAGAUCAGGAUACGGUCAUUCUCCCAUAAAGUUACUUACAACAAGUAUAUCUUGCCCUGUCAGCCGGCCCAUCUCACCAGGACCGGAAUAGAUUUUCUAUUUUUUUUUUUCCUUAAAUAAAGGCCCAGGAGCGAAUGUCCAGGCCCCGAAGAGCCCACUUAGAGGGAUUCCGGACCGGGUCCAGAGCCAAGUCAAGUUGGCUAGCUCUUGGCCAGGACAGCUUAACCCCAAAGAUGUUGAAAGCGGAACAACUCUGAAACAUCUUGUUGGACCGAAAGGCGACGCAAAAAUUGAGAUUUAAUAGUGUAAUAUAAAAUAUGUAAGAUCAUAACCAAUAGAAUAAGUUAAAGUAAAGAAACAAAAAGGCGAGUUAAGCAGAGGAACUGAUACCUUAUUCAAUAACAAUAUGGAGAGAAUACAACAAAAACAAUAAAGCUUUUCAAAUCUAGAAAAAGAAUCUAGGGCUUGUUUGAGCCACAUUAUAAGGAAAAAAUGCAUUAUUGAUGUCAAAUUAAUUAGAAAUGUGUGGUUAAAAAUAAGAAAAAGUUUUAAAUUUGUGUGUAAUAUUAUUUUAUUGAAAAUUGUGUGAUUGAAAUGAUGUCAAAUCACUGUUGAAGAAUGCAUUUUUUUUGAAAAUAAUGUGGCUCAAACAGGGGCCUAAUAUUUAUAGGAAAAAAUCCACACCUAGAAGUAGAGUUGUAGAUAAAAAAAAAAACGCCAAAAGCUUCCUUAUUUGAUCUCAUCAAGUCCAACACAAAUUCCACUAUCGAAUAGGCUUUCAAAUAGAAUAAAUAGAACUUGUCAAUUAAACUUGAAUAUGAUUCCUCAAAUAGCAUUCCAAUUAAAAUUCCAUUUGAUGUGCACUUCAAUUAGAACUCCACAAUUAUUUCAACAAGGGAUUCGAGUCAUACCCAAAUUCUAACAAUGCUCAUCCCAUUCUACAUAAUUCUGCUCAUCUAAGUUGCUCUUUACUAUCAGUGUAGCUUUUCUUCAUGUAGUUUCAUUUCCUUUUGAUUGUAUUGAAAGAUUCAAAACCAAAAGAACAUCCGAAUAACUGGAAGAACGUACAAAUUUCCAACAAUUCUAGCUAUACCAUUGAAGGUUAUGGUUCAUGAAAAACGAAUAAAUUGGUACACAUUAUUGGACAAGAGAAUAAGAGAAGUUCGUUUCUUUCUUAAUAUUGUCCAGUUGUAUCCAAUAUUGCACACCAUAAUUCAGCAAUAUGAAAGAAAAGGAGAGUAAUAAACUAUGUAAACAGAAUGAGAAGAUUAUGAUGAACAAAAUAGAAUUUACAAACAAGAAACCAAAACUCCAAGAUUCAUUUGCAAUUAUUACUUAAUUUAUCAAAUUGUUCUUAUUCUCAUUACAAAUCUAGUGAACACUAUGGUCUAAAUAAACAAACUCUACAAACAAUAUGGUUUGAAGCACAGGUAAACGCAUGUUUAUACUGCAACAAGAGAAAAAAUGAAGUCAAGUUGCCAACAAUUGAAGUAAGAAGGGGCUUUGCUUACAAAUUUGGGCCCUGGAAUCCGUGCAAACAUGCAAAGUUACAUUGCCCACGUCUAUAAAUUCUUCAAUUUGCUCUGAUUUUCCAGAUUGAAUUGAUGUGCUUCACAAAUUGAUCAGUAGAAAUUCUUAAAAACAUACGAAGUAAAAUGCAACAGAUGACAACAAUGUGACUGCUAGCACAAGCAAGGAGACGUCUGGGCGGGAUCCAGCAUUUGGUAGAUAUGGAUAUUCAUCGGGAGGUGGCAU